GCAGACUAGUUUAACCGCGAUCCGCCGUUGUGUGUGCGUGUGUGUGUGUGUGCGUGUACGGCAGUACGAACCGCCUUUGUGUGCUAGGGUGUUAGGGAUGUCUCUGUUGGUCGAAGGUGGCACAUUGACACACUUUCCAUCCACAAACUUGAAAAAUAAGGUUGAGAUUUCACAUUCUUCUUACUUCUCUUUUCCAGAGAUUUGGAAGAACACGAACUGAAAGUCUCUUUCAACGAUGUAUCACAAAAAAUGGAGACGACAAAAUGCACAAUUACGCGCAUUGGUGGAGUCUAGUGACUCAGAUGAGAAUCCAGGUCCCUCAGAUGAGAAUCCAGGCCCCUCUUUUACUGAUAGCCCAAAAGACAUACAGACACAGGAGCAGUCUGAUACAGGAGAAGACGAGUAUCGAGAUGAUCACCACCCGCCGGACAGUGAUGGUGAAAGUGAUUCAGAAAUUUGAACUUUGUCCGAGGAGGAAUCAAGUGAUCUAAGAAGUGAUUUGGCAAAAUGGGCUGUAAAAAAUAAGGCGUGUGUAAAAUUGUUCUGUGAAAUGUUGGCACACUUGCAGCCAUAUAAUAAAGCACUUUUCUUACGCCA